AAAAAAUUCUUUAUAUGGUUGCUACUCGCUACUCGAGUCCUCCGACGCACAGCGGCAGCCACUUUGUUGAAAUCUGAUGAAUCUAAGAGAAGCUUUGCUGCUGCCACAGAGAAGCUUUUGCCAUAGCACGGCCUCAGUUUGUUCUGUUCGGAUCCUCCAUAGCCCAGCUUAGCUUCAGCCACGGCUACUGGGGCUCCAUUCUCUCCGACCUCUAUGCUCGCAAAGCAAACAUAUUGCUGCGUGGUUACUUUGGAUGGAAUUCACGACGUGCUCUAGAGGUGCUUGAUCAAGUUUUUCCCAUGGUAAAAUCUACUUUUAUCUGCAUGCAUGAUUGUGUAAUCUGAUUUGGGCUUAUGUUUGAUUAAGAAGAUUAAACCGAAUUAAGAAAAAGAUUGAGGAUUUGAUAUGCUUGAUUGUUCGAUUCUUGCCUGUUUUAUGUAAAAUUGAGUUUUUGGGAAUACUGUUGUUUAAUUGGUGUUUGGUUUUGAGCUUAAGAAAUCAAAAUUGGGACUUUUUGUGAUUCAAUAUGUUAUCAUGAGAAAUUCAGAGUUUUAUGAACUA